rnacentral:lncRNA from 1 species
GUUCAGCGUACAUGGGUUCCUCCCCAGCCGCCACCUGUGGCAAUGCCAGAAGCAGCUGAAGCCAUUCGACGGCCAAAAUCAUCAGCUCUGAAAGAGGCUGCUAAACAAGAGGAAUUGGCUGAGGAUCAGUCAGUGGCUUGCCCUUUAGAGGCAACUGAUGAGUUAAAUAGGAUCACAAAAAUAUCUGAAUCAGCAGGUGCAGUGGAGAUAAAUGGGGGUUUUUCAAGCAUGAACUCAACUGAGAUACAAGAACAAGAACAGAGCUACUCAGAGAACUAAAGCCGGAUUAACUUUCUAGGGUAAGCCUGAUUUAAGGUUUACCAAUACAUGUGUUUAAAAAUGAUAAAAAGUACCCAAGAAUAUUUUCUGUCAACAUCUAAACUACUGUGCUUUAAAAUUGAGCAUCCUCGCAGUAUAGGCAGACCUUUCUUUUCAUGACAAGUUCUGUAUGUAGAAUGAUAAUAAUAAUAAUAAUUCAUUGUCUGCUAGUUUUUGAAAGUAUCAUCUUGCCUUUUAGCAACUUACCUACCUAAGUAGUCAAGAAAAGCACUCAACAGGCUGUUGAGGUAUGUGCAAGGUUGUCUCUUUGCAUCAUUCAGUUUCCGAGUCUAGUUAUUGUUUGAUGAGGAAACACCCUGACGGUAAAUGAUCGUCUGAGCUGGUCUGGGCUGGCCCUGUAACUGCUGAAAACUUUUGUUUGCAUCCAUUUGUCGAAAAAAUUUAAAAAUUCUAGCAUUACACUGAAGAAUUAGCUAAUGAUGUUGGGUUUUUAGGUAUAACAUUUGCCCACCCCACUAACUCUAAGCAAGUCUUUCCUUUUGGAACCACUCAUCCACUCUUUUCUCUUCACAUCCCACUCCAUAUAGUAUUUGUGGCACCC